rnacentral:rRNA from 1 species
GACGAACGCUGGCGGCGUGCUUAACACAUGCAAGUCGAACGGAAAGGCCCUGCUUUUGUGGGGUGCUCGAGUGGCGAACGGGUGAGUAACACGUGAGUAACCUGCCCUUGACUUUGGGAUAACUUCAGGCAACUGGGGCUAAUACCGGAUAGGAGCUCCUGCUGCAUGGUGGGGGUUGGAGAGUUUCGGCGGUUGGGGAUGGACUCGCGGCUUAUCAGCUUGUUGGUGGGGUAGUGGCUUACCAAGGCUUUGACGGGUAGCCGGCCUGAGAGGGUGACCGGCCACAUUGGGACUGAGAUACGGCCCAGACUCCUACGGGAGGCAGCAGUGGGGAAUAUUGCACAAUGGGCGGAAGCCUGAUGCAGCAACGCCGCGUGCGGGAUGACGGCCUUCGGGUUGUAAACCGCUUUCGCCUGUGACGAAGCGUGAGUGACGGUAAUGGGUAAAGAAGCACCGGCUAACUACGUG